rnacentral:ncRNA from 1 species
GGAGGACCCUAGGUUCCUGGUUUUAAUUAAUAUGUGGGUAUUAGUUUGAUUCUUGCUAUAAAAAUCCCUAUAUGAUAGGGGUAUAUAUAAGAUUCUUCGUAGGGGCCAGUUUCCUAAAGGGUAGGUGUGUCUUUGUAAUUUCUAGCUUUAUUUGUUUGGGGUCAUUCUUGACUUAGCUAAUUGUUAAGGUCUGGCCAAAGGUGUGCCAGCAGCCGCGGUUACACACUUAGGCCCGGGAUUUUCUUUGAGUUUAUAUUUAGUAUUUAGUUAAUAUUAAGAUUACGGUUGUUACAGGGUGGAAUCUUAAUGGCUUUUUUCUUAUUUGUAUUAUAUUAUAUGAAGGCCGGAGGAUAAACUAGGAUUAGAUACCCUAUUAUUCUGGCUGUAAAGUUGUUCUUUAAAAUUAAUAGUUUUGAUCUUUAAAUUAAAAGGAUUUGGCGGUAACCUAAACCAUUCAGAGGAACCUGCCCAGUAAUUGAUAUGCCACGCGUGAUGUUACUUGUGCUAUGCUUGUAUACCUCUAUUGUGAACGUUCUGUGAGGAUAUUUUCUUGUAACAUGGGUUUGAGCAAUUUUAGGUCAAGGUGCAGCGAUGCAUUAGUUGAGGUGGGUUACAAUUAGUAAUACUAUGGGAUUUUUUUGUUGUAUUAAUUAAUGAACUUGGAUUUGGAAGUAAUUUCUAUUAUACUAUAGGGGUGACUGAGGCUCUGGGUUAUGUACACAUCGCCCGUCACUCUCGUUUAUUAAGAUGAGAUAAGUCGUAACAAAGUGGGCUUACCGGAAGGUGAGCCUGGGAAGAUAU